CGCCUGUUUAACAAAAACAUUUCCUUUUGGGUUUUUAAAAGGUAUUUCCUGCCCUAUGAUUUAUAUUAAAUGGCUGCAGUAUAUUGACUGUGCAAAGGUAGCAUAGUAAUUAGCUUCUUAAUUAGGAGCUUGUAUGAAUGGAUCAAUGAGAAAUAUAUUUUAUUAGUUUUAUCAUUAGAAAUUUAAUUUUGAGUAAAAAUGCUUAGUUGAUCUUUUGGGACGUAAGACCCUAUAGAACUUCACAGAUAUUUUGUUAUUGGGUUUUUAUAAUAAUAUAAAUGUGUAACAAUUAUUUGUUUUGCUGGGGUGGCAGGUAAAUUUGAACUUUACUUUAUAUUAUCAUUAUUAUUUGUUAUUCAAGAUCUUUAUUAAGGAUUUUAAGAUUGAGUUACCUUAGGGGUAACAGCGUAAUUUUAGUGGAAAGUUCAUAUUUAUACUAAAUUUUGCGACCUCGAUGUUGAAUUAAGAUUAUUCUAAGAAGCAGUAUUCUUAGUUUUAGGUCUGUUCGACCUUUAGAUUCUUACCUUGAUCUGAGUUCAGACCGG
rnacentral:rRNA from 1 species